UACAGGGGGGGGCAAGCGUUGUUCGGAAUUACUGGGCGUAAAGGGCUCGUAGGCGGCCAACUAAGUCACACGUGAAAUCCCUGGGCUCAACCCAGGAACUGCGUCCAAGACUGGGAGGCUUGAAUCCGGGAGAGGGAUGCGGAAUUCCAGGUGUAGCGGUGAAAUGCGUAGAUAUCUGGAGGAACACCGGUGGCGAAGGCGGCAUC
rnacentral:rRNA from 1 species